GACAGAACAAAUUCUUACCUGUCUGUAUAAAGAGGGGCACAUCUGCCAGCCAGUAGGCACAGAUAUCAGCACCUACUGUCAAUCACAUACUUUGCUCUCUCUUACAAGUCUUUUGACUCUGAAUAAAGCAUCAGGAUGAAGUGUGCUGCUCUCUUUCUGGUGUUAUCAGUCAUCAUCUUCAUGGCUGAACCUGGAGUGGGUCAACAGACCCACAUUGGACACGGUGGCAGUGGAAACAUCCAGGUUGGAGGAAAACAGCUUGAAAAGCGUCAAAUGUCGUUUUGAAGACGA